AACGUAGGAGGCGAGCGUUAUCCGGAUUUACUGGGUGUAAAGCGCGUGCAGGCGGUUAGCUAAGUUGGGUGUGAAAGCUCCCGGCUCAACUGGGAGAGGUCGCUCAAGACUGGCUGGCUCGAGGAUGGUAGGGGAAGGUGGAAUUCCGGGUGUAGUGGUGAAAUGCGUAGAUAUCCGGAGGAACACCAGUGGCGAAGGCGGCCUUCUGGACCAUCACUGACGCUCAGACGCGAAAGCUAGGGUAGCAAACGGG
rnacentral:rRNA from 2 species